rnacentral:rRNA from 1 species
AACGAGCGCAACCCCUACGUUUAGUUGCUAACGCGUGAAGGCGAGCACUCUAGACGAACUGCCGUUGGACAAAACGGAGGAAGGUGGGGAUGACGUCAAAUCAUCAUGCCCCUUAUGUUCUGGGCUACACACGUGCUACAAUGGCCGGUACAGACGGACGCAAAGCCGCGAGGUGGAGCAAAUCCUAAAAACCCGUCCCAAGUUCGGAUUGGAGUCUGCAACUCGACUCCAUGAAGUUGGAAUCGCUAGUAAUCGCGGAUCAGCAUGCCGCGGUGAAUACGUUCCCGGGCCUU